UUCUUGUGAAUCAAUUUAACAAGCACCUUCUGAUAACUCCUCUGAACCAACCACCUCAACGCCUCCAUCGAACCUUUAGCUUCAGCUUUCCUAGAUACACUGUUAGCAGGAGGGACCGUGACACCCGACAGACCUGCAGCCACUACACUGAGAGAGUCCCUCAGCAUAUCCCCAUAACCCACAUUCAGAGCUGCGUCCACGUUACACUUCGAGAACUCUUCAGGAGGUUUGGACCAGCUUAUGACUUCAAGGCUGUUCCCAGCACCCGGAUUCUGAGCUGCCCCACCCAUCCCUCGACGCUUGUCUUUCCUGCAAGAACUGGUUUGCGAACCUGGUAACCUCUUCCAGAGAAUAGUAUUUGCCUUGCCAGGGAAACAUGUCAAGUGAAGACCUCUCCACUGCCUGCAAUCAUUGGGGAUUCCAUAAAGAAAUUCAAUUUUAACCUUUUGCUAAAUAAUUAGCAUUUAUUCGACCAAUAAUAAAUUAUUAUUCAACCAUUCAUUCAAUCAAUUGACG
rnacentral:misc_RNA from 1 species